rnacentral:lncRNA from 1 species
AUAGCAAACAGUUUUUAAUGAACCGACCAUCUAGUCUAGUUCCAAAUUCCUUAUAGGUAAGUUUUUCCAAGUCUAUUGCUUAUCCCUUUUAUUUGUUUUACAAUUUUCCCCACAUGAUACAAACGAGAUCCUAAUCCAUUGUUGUGAAACUGUCACCCGACCAUCUAGUCUAGUUCCAAAUUCGUUAUAGGUAAUAUUUUCCAAGACCAUUGCUUAUCUUUUUUACUUGUUUUACAUUUUCCCCCACAUAAUACAAACGAGAUCCGAAUCACUUGUUGUUAAACUGUCACCCGACCUUCUAG